GGAAGUUAUAUACUGUAUUUCUUUGUAACUAAGGUACCAUUGAUUGUUGUAUGCUUCAUUAUUUUGUGUACCACUAAUGGUUAAACACCGUCAAAGAAACUGACACAUCAAUUGUAAUAUGCAUGCAGAUUUCAGAUAUACUAAAAUGUGAAAAAAAAUGCAUAUUAGAAUAGAUGAAAUAUGAUAGUUUGUAGUUCUAUGAUGAUUAUAAAGCUGUAGCUUUAAUAUAUUUAAAUCUAUUGUUUAUCAAAUUUUUCAGAAAUGGUUGUUUGAAUGCUAUAUUCUCAGAGUUCUUAGGUUUGAAAAUAUCUGUUAGUGGCUUUCAUAAAGGAAAUAUUUUGGCUGGUUUCAAAUAUCUGAGCUACAUCUUCCUUUCCCUUAAUACCCAGUAGACAUUAUUCCAUUAUCUUCUGGCAUCUAGGGUUACUCUACAGGAGUCUGGGGGCCAGCCUGACUGUUUUUCUCCCUUUGUAGGUGACCUACUUCUGCCUGGGUAUUGGUAGAAUUCUUUCUUUAUCCUUGAAGUUCAGUAACUUCAUCAGGAUAUAUCUCAGUCUUGGUGUGAUUCUCUAUUACAUAUUCCUGUUACAUGACAUUGUCUGUUGACUUCUUGCUAUGACAGAUGUUUUCAGUCCCACUUCUCACUACUGACCUUCCUCGCACGACGGUCACUGAAUUGGCGCCUCUCUGGGGUUCUGCCCAGAAGAUUAGCCUUCCUUCUUCGCCACAGCCCCUCUAACUCAACAAAAAUCCAGUGGAAGGCUUUUCGGCAGGUUUAAUAGAUGACAAUGAUCUCUACCGAUGGGAAGUCCUUAUUAUUGGUCCCCCAGAUACACUUUAUGAAGGUGGUGUUUUUAAGGCUCAUCUCACUUUCCCAAAAGAUUAUCCCCUCCGGCCUCCUAAAAUGAAAUUCAUUACAGAAAUCUGGCACCCAAAUGUUGAUAAAAAUGGCGAUGUGUGCAUUUCUAUUCUUCACGAGCCCGGGGAAGAUAAAUAUGGUUAUGAAAAGCCAGAGGAACGCUGGCUCCCUAUCCACACUGUGGAAACUAUCAUGAUUAGUGUCAUUUCUAUGCUGGCAGACCCUAAUGGAGACUCACCUGCUAAUGUUGAUGCUGCGAAAGAAUGGAGGGAAGACAGAAAUGGAGAAUUUAAAAGAAAAGUUGCCCGCUGUGUAAGAAAAAGCCAAGAGACUGCUUUUGAGUGACAUUUAUUUAGCAGCUAGUAACUUCACUUACUUCAGGGUCUCCAAUUGAGAAACAUGGCACUGUUUUCCUGCACUCUACCCACCUAUUGCUGGACUUCUGUUGUAACAAGUUGGCAGACACUGGCUGGAACUGGGCUGCAAUAAAACAUGCCAGUUAUCAAUGCUGACAAGAGCCUAACAAGUGCCAACUUACAGAUGAUUACGCAUUUUGAAUUCUAAUGAACUGUUUUAACCUUCAGGAAGAAUUGUAAAGACCUGUACAUAGCACAACAUGAUCCGGAUAAUAUAUAUACUGUUCAUGUACAUCCACAAAUACACCUUGUACCAAAUAAUGCUUUCUUGUAGUAGAAUAAGAAUCGUGUAAAUUCUAAAAGAUUUUAGCAGGUUUUCUUUCCUAUUCAUUGUUUCCUAUCAGUUUUAAAAGACUCCUUAAAGCAUGUCAGAUGAAAAGCAAUUAGGAUUAAAAGUUUCCAUUUAAUUUCCUUUAAACCAUUGAGGCUACAUUAAACUCUUUUCACUUACUAAACUUUUGUAUCUUCUUUGUUUUGACACACUCCCCUUUGCUUUUAUCUCUUCUAGCUGCCAGAAAGUUCUCAAAUCAUUUAGUUCAAAUACUGAAAUACUUAAUAAGCAAUUACUUGAUUUUUAUUGAUGACUUCAGAGGAUAGUCAUCACUAGGUGCUUUGUCCUUUUUGUAUUCUAGUUGCACCCAUCUCUUGGAUUGGAUGUAGCAAUAACAUUUUUGGCCGUUGAGAGCUCUUGAACCCAGUCAUUACCCCCGAGAACUAAAAGAGUUGGUUCUUAAUUCAACUUACUGAAAUUUUCCCCAAAUAGUAUCAAAUUCUGAUUUGGUUUCAUUUUGCCCUUGAGUUGCUUAAUAUUAAGGUUGGAUAAAUAAAGCAUGCACAGUUCAGCUACAGGCUUUCUCCUUAACUCCUGGGUUUGCUACUAAAAAUGCUGUUUACCCCUAUACUCUUCUCCUGAGUCCUUUAUAUUUCUUUGCCUCUAUUCUUCUAUACUGCAGAGUUUUCUCACCUAUUGUACAAAGAAAUUGCGAUGUAUAUUUUCAUGUAAUUUGAUUUUGGAAUUCUGUCACCUUAUGUAGUGAGUUCUUCCAAAAUAUAAUUUUUUUUUCAAUAAUUGUCAAGUUGUUGGCUUUUAUUGUAUUGAAUGAAGGUUAUAAUACUGAAUGCCAGAGAAGUGCAGUUUAGAGAAAUCUCAGGUUGAUUCCUUAUGCAAACAAACUUAAUACUUGAAAAUCACAUGGCCAUGGCAGUAUAUGUAUUGGGUUCUAUCUAGAUUCAUAUGUGAAUCUAAAAGCAUUACGAGGUAAAUGCGUCACUAUUUGACAUGCAGAUUCUGUCACUGACAUAGUGCACUUGGAUUUGAUUAAUGUUUGAGUAUAAAUAUAUUUCAUAUCAUACAAUUUUCUAAAACAACUUCAGCAAAUGGUAAAAGGAGCAUGUGACGUGUUAAAGGCAGGCCUAGGAUCCUCAAUGUUUGUUGAGAGGUUAGGAAUGGGAAGUAGUCGUUGGCAUGUAAAGCAUAGAACUUGAGACAGUACCAGAUGGGGACAUGGUGUUUGAUUGUGAGAAUAAGUGAGAACUGGUGCAUCUCUUUUCUGUGGGGUUUGGAGAAAUGCUUUGGCAGAAGAGUAAAAGGAUUCCUGCCAAUAACCCGCACCUCUACAAAUUUUGUAUGUCCUUUUUUAAGCAGAAAUAAAAUAGUUGAGGAUGUAUUCAUAGUAGAGAAUGAAUUUUCUAAAUCUCAGUCUCUUCUCCACUCCAAAGCAUGUAAAACUCCAUAAACAUAAAAACCCAUAAAUAUGUAGUGACUGUGAAAAUUGUUUGAUUUGAUUCUUUGGAGCCCAGUUUUCUUCAAGAACUUUGUGACUUUUUUUUUCUUCCCCAAAGACCCUAUAGAAAUUUUUACCCCUAAAUGCUGGCACUGCACACCUACAAAUGACUUGGCAUGCAAUCCCUUUGACUCUUAAAUCAGAAGUUGUUCACAUGGUGUUUGCUGUGGCAAAAUGGAGCUAGAAUUUUUCUCUCCUAUUGCUGUAAUUGUGCUAGCAGAAUUAAAACCUGGGAUUUGAUUCUUCAGCAAGUAGCAAAUGACCUAGUAACUCAGGGACAACUAUUUUUGAACUUUAAGUGCCACUUUAAUGCAGUUACUUUGGUAUAACCAUGUGGUUUUUUAGGGCUAGCUCUAGGGGAGUGGAAGGAAGAGCCAGGAAUGAGUGCAUCUCUUUUCACACUCUUUUCUGCCUGGUGCCCUGACCAUGCUACAUACUGAAACACAGGCCUAGAAAGAUGUUAUGACUUCUUUUCCUCUGUCAGAGAUGUCAUCUGUGCCUUGCCAGUGUUCAUCUGAAAAUGUAAACUUAAAUGCCUCUACAUUUGAAAUUAAACUCUACUCAGGUGACACUGAACCAGGUGGCUUUUGUCCCACCAGUACCUCAUCAUUUUUGUGAGGUGAUUCUUCUCUGCUUUAGGAAAAGGAACCCUGCCCGCCAACCUUGUGCCAACCAUCAAUAACAUCUACAUAAUCUUAAGGAUUGUAGAACUGUUGGCUGUUUCCUGAAUUUAUUCCAAGUUCUCACAGAGGCUUACAGAUUUCAGUCUGUGCUCACAAUGGGAUGGAUGGUCUCAGUGGCUUUCUGGCCUCCUCUUUUGAGUUUAAAAUCCAUAUGAAGUUGAUUUCCUUGUCAUUAUAAGGUAAUAUGCUUGUCAGGUUAUUCCACUCAUUCUGUGAUCACUUGAGUGUCAGUAUCUUUAAUGGCCUUCAUUCUUGGUUGUGAAAUUUUAUAUGCUCGCUCACCCCCUACAAAUCUGCCCACUUUGGGUUGUGGUGCCUGUGUAUUUUUGCCCGUCUGGUCUCCAGUUGGUGGAAUUACCUUUUUUGUACUGCCACUUCUCAGCAUCUUCGAAAUUUGACAUAAUGUUGCUUCAUUCCAGUUUCUUCUUUUUUUUUUUUUUUUAGUUCUGUAAUUUGUUGAUUGUAUUUAACUAUGUGAGUUCUGUUGUGAUGUUUACUGUAUUGUAAAGCACCUAAAUCAUGUGAUGGGUGCUCUAUAAAUCAAUAAAUGAUGACUUAGAGGCUGUA